ACUAAAAAAUAAAAUGAAGAGAGUAGAGACAGAGGAGAAGAAGCCGUGCGCGACUGAAAGGCGAACCGAUCCUGCCUCAGAAAAGCAUCCAUCUGUCCUAAGAAGGCUUUUUGAUUUUUUCUUUGGCUUGAGCACCUGAUGCUAACGCCUUUCCCGUUCUUUUCCUUUCCCCUCCGCACCAACCCCACCACCACCACUACCUUCAUUUUGACAAGGAAAACUAAAUUCCCUGUUUGGCAUCUUUCUUUCUUACUCAUUCUCCUUCUCUCCGAGAGAGAGAGAGAGAUAGCACCUGCAGCAGCUCCGUUUCAUUUAGGUUGGAAAAGAUAAACCCCGUUUGGCAUUCCUCUUCAUACACGCUUGGAGAGGUUGGAAAAUAAUAAACACCGAUUGGCAUUCCUCUUCCAUACUCCUACUCUGAGAGAGAGAGAGAGAGAGAGAGAGAGAGAGAGAGAGAGAGAUCAUGGCUUCUGCGCAUGGGAGCAGCAGCAGCAGCAGCAGCUACGAUUUCUCCUUCAAGAUCUUGUUGAUUGGGGAUUCGGGAGUGGGGAAAAGCAGCCUCCUCGUCACCUUCAUCUCCAACGCUUUGGAUGAUCUAUCUCCCACUAUCGGGGUGGAUUUUAAGAUCAAGCACCUCACGGUUGGCGGGAAGAGAUUAAAGCUUACAAUAUGGGAUACUGCUGGACAGGAGAGGUUUAGAACACUAACAAGCUCAUACUAUAGAAGUGCACAAGGGAUCAUUCUCGUUUAUGAUGUGACACGGCGUGAAACCUUUACGAAUUUGUCGGAUGUAUGGGCAAAGGAAGUAGAGCUUUACUCCACUAAUCAGGACUGUAUCAAGAUGCUUGUUGGGAAUAAAGUUGAUAGGGAAAGUGAGAGGGUUGUAACAAGAGAAGAGGGUAUUGCUCUCGCCCAAGAGUAUGGAUGUUCGUUUUUUGAGUGUAGUGCAAAAACUAGAGAAAAUGUGGAGAAAUGCUUUGAAGAACUUGCUCUAAAGGUAUAGCAAGCAAUAUCUUCACGAUCUUCUAAAUUUCACGACAAAUACAAAAUAUUCUCACAAAGAUUUUGAUUCAUAAUAGAUUCUUGGUGUACCUAGUCUAUUGGAAGAAGGAUCAACAGUUGUGAAGAGGAAUAUUUUGAAACAGAAACAAGAAUAUACUGCAGCCCCAAAUACUGGUUGUUGCUCGUGAAAACCUGGCCUCAGACACUAAAGAAAGUUCCCCAACAACCAACUCAUUGCCCUUCUGAAGAGGCAUCGGAUAGCAAGAUCCUUGAAUGAGAAUGCAUCAGUUUAACAGCUGUUGAUGUUAAUAACAGUUUGUGAUUUGUGAUCAGUGUAAAUUUCUUUUCCAUUUGUUAAAUCUUUGGCAUUGAUGUUGGAACUAGUUUGUGAGUUGGGUUAUGUGGUAAAUGCUUCCAUUAACUAAACGGUAUACGUGUUUUUCUUUUC